GACGAACGCUGGCGGCGUGCUUAACACAUGCAAGUCGAACGAAGUGGCGAACGGGUGAGUAACGCGUAAUCAACCUGCCCUUCAGAGGGGGACAACAGUUGGAAACGACUGCUAAUACCGAAUACUGAAGGAGGGGCAUGCGUCGGAUUAGCUAGUUGGAGGGGUAACGGCCCACCAAGGCGAUGAUCAGUAGCCGGGCUGGGAGGAUGAACGGCCCAAGUGGGACUGGGACACGGCCCAGACUCCUACGGGAGGCAGCAGUGGGGAAUCUUCCGCAAUGGAGGAAAGUCUGACGGAGCAACGCCGCGUGAGUGAUGACGGCCUUCGGGGUGUAAAGCUCUGUUAAUCGGGACGCGGUACCGGAAUAGAAAGCCACGGCUAACCACGUGCCAGCAGCCGCGGUAAUUC
rnacentral:rRNA from 1 species